GCCCGCCGUGCCAGCUCUCUUGAACCCCCAGCUCUUGGAUCAGUUGAGUCAGCUCCUGCAGCUGCGCUCCGGAGCAGAAGUCGAGGUUUUGGACCUGUUCCAAGUUGAUCUUUGCAAGGAACUGUAGAGUUUUGGCCCCGGGGAGGAAUGGAAGCCCUGUCCCAAGUCCUACUGGUAUAGGACUCUCUCUUCAUUGAUGGUGAUGAAUACUCUGCCCUUCUCGAGGGGUGGGCGUGGAACUGCUUCAAGAGAGAAGAUGUAAGAUGCCAACCCUACUCCAGGUUGCUGAAGGAAAAGACUCUGGGAAGACAUGGAAGGAGCUGGCAGUCUCCAUCAUGUCCCUAACCCCAGCUUGCUACAUUAGAAACCAGGGAGCUUUCCCAUGGGUGAGAUCCGGGACACUCUCUCUUGGUUGAGCUGAGUUACCUCGCUCCCAAUGGGAGAGCUCCUUCACUUUGUAUUGUCUGGUUA